GACGAACGCUGGCGGCGUGCCUAAUACAUGCAAGUCGAACGAGUGGCGGACGGGUGCGUGACACGUGGGAACCUACCCGUAAGAGGGGGAAAACACGUGGAAACAGGUGCUAAUACCGCAUACUGAUGGAUGGACUCGCGGUGGAUUAGCGAUAUGGUGGGGUAAAGGCCUACCAAGGCGACGAUCCGUAGCUGGUCUGAGAGGUGGAUCAGUCACACUGGAACUGAGACACGGUCCAGACUCCUACGAGAGGCAGCAGUGGGGAAUAGUGGACAAUGGGCGAAAUCCUGAUCCAGCCAUGCCGCGUGUGUGAAGAAGGUCUUCGGAUUGUAAAGCACUUUAAGUAGGGAGGCGUUACCGACAGAAUAAGCACCGGCUAACUUCGUGCCAGCAGCCGCGGUAAUUC
rnacentral:rRNA from 1 species